ACUCCUACGGGAGGCAGCAGUGGGGAAUAUUGGACAAUGGGCGCAAGCCUGAUCCAGCCAUGCCGCGUGAGUGAUGAAGGCCCUAGGGUUGUAAAGCUCUUUCACCGGUGAAGAUAAUGACGGUAACCGGAGAAGAAGCCCCGGCUAACUUCGUGCCAGCAGCCGCGGUAAUACGAAGGGGGCUAGCGUUGUUCGGAUUUACUGGGCGUAAAGCGCACGUAGGCGGACUAUUAAGUCAGGGGUGAAAUCCCGGGGCUCAACCCCGGAACUGCCUUUGAUACUGGUAGUCUUGAGUUCGAGAGAGGUGAGUGGAAUUCCGAGUGUAGAGGUGAAAUUCGUAGAUAUUCGGAGGAACACCAGUGGCGAAGGCGGCUCACUGGCUCGAUACUGACGCUGAGGUGCGAAAGCGUGGGGAGCAAACAGGAUUAGAAACCCCGGUAGUCCCAUGA
rnacentral:rRNA from 1 species